CGAAAUGCGAUAAGUAAUGUGAAUUGCAGAAUUCAGUGAAUCAUCGAAUCUUUGAACGCACCUUGCGCUCCUUGGUAUUCCUUGGAGCAUGCCUGUUUGAGUAUCAUGAAAUCUUCAAAGUAAAUCUUUUGUUAACUCAAUUGGUUUCUACUUUGGUAUUGGAGGUCUUUGCAGCUUCACACCUGCUCCUCUUUGUUCAUUAGCUGGAUCUCAGUGUUAUGCUUGGUUCCACUCGGCGUGAUAAGUUAUCUAUCGCUGAGGACACUGUAAAAGGUGGCCAAGGUAAAUGCAGAUGAACCGCUUCUAAUAGUCCAUUGACUUGGACAAUACUUUUAUGAUCUGAUCUCAAAUCAGGUAGGACUACCCGCUGAACUUGAGC
rnacentral:misc_RNA from 1 species